UUUUUAUGAAUUAUUAAUUUAUAGAGUUAUUUAUUAAUUAAGAAAAGAAAUUAAAUUUUAGUAAUUUUUAUAUAAAAAAUUAAUUUUAUAAUAGAUAAUUAGUAUUGAGAAAGAAUUUUUUUAUAAGUUAUAAAGAAAAAUAUAUUUUUGUACCUUGUGUCUCAGGGUUAAUUAAAAAUUUUAUUAAUAGAGAUUUCUCGAAUUUAAAAGAGCUAGGGUAAUAUAUUAUUUAUUGUAAAAUAAAUAUAUUUAAUAUUAUUUUAGUAAUGAAAUGUUAAUCGUUUUUAAAUAUAUCUAGUUAUUUAAGAAAAAAAUUUAAUUUUUUUAUUAAGAAUAUUUAUUUAUUUAUUUAAUUAAGUAUUAAUAAUAUAAAAUAUUUUGAGGGAUGAGCUUUAAAAAAGAUUAUUAAAAAUAAAUUAUAAUUAUAAAAAUUGUAGGAUUAGAAUUGUUCAUUUUUAAAAUUAUGUUAUAAUUAAUUUUUUAAGUUUAAUUAUUUAUAUUUUAUUUUAAUUUUUUUAUUAAAUUAAUAAUUUAAAUUUUUUAAAUUAUGCGAUAAUGGUUAAAUUAGUAAUUUAUGUAUUUAUAUAAUAUUGAUAUAAUUGAGGUUAAUAAAAGGAAUUCGGCAAAUAUUUUUCCACCUGUUUAAUAAAAACAUGGCUUUUUGUGUAUAAUUUAAGGUCUUGCCUGCCCACUGAGUAAUUAAAUGGCCGCGGUAUUUUGACCGUGCUAAGGUAGCAUAAUCAUUAGUUUUUUAAUUGAAAGCUGGUAUGAAUGGUAGGAUGAGAAAAAUUCUGUCUCUUAUUAAUUUAAUAUGAAUUUUAUUAUUAAGUGAGAAUGCUUAAAUAUUAUUAAAAGACGAGAAGACCCUAUAGAGUUUUAUAAUAACUUUAAUUUAAAUUUUUAGUAUUUUUAUUUAAAAUUAAGGAAAUUAUUAAGUUGGGGUGAUUGAAAAAUUAAUAUAACUUUUUUUAAAAUAGACCAUUAAUUUAUGAAUAUAUGAUCCAUUAAUUAUGAUUAUAAGAAAAAAUUACCUUAGGGAUAACAGCGUAAUUUUUUUUGAGAGUUCAAAUCGAAAAAAGAGAUUGCGACCUCGAUGUUGGAUUAAAAUAAAUUUAUGGUGUAGAAGCUAUAAAGAUUAGGUCUGUUCGACCUUUAAAAUUUUACAUGAUCUGAGUUUAAACCGGUGUGAGCCAGGUUGGUUUCUAUCUUUAAUAAAAUAUAAUAUUUUAGUACGAAAGGACCAAAUAUU
rnacentral:rRNA from 1 species